rnacentral:lncRNA from 1 species
GAUGAUUGGGUAAUAUACCCAUGAAUUGAUUAUGUUUGACCUUAAUUUGUUGUGUGUCCGAAGCAUUUUAGAAUCAUUUUACUUGUUUAAGUUGUGUUGUGGCAGGAUUGUGUGCUGUUGGGACGUUUGGAAGUUGUGGGAUUGAAAAAGGCAACAAAAUCAGUUUCUGCACCCUAGCGCCGGGGCGCUGUUCCAAGAGUAAAAGACAGCACCGGGGCGCUAGUCUUCGGUUGAC